rfam:Ipomoea nil DNA, scaffold: scaffold1101, cultivar: Tokyo-kokei standard.
GGCCUAUUAGCUUAGUUGGUUAGAGCGUCGUGCUAAUAAUGUGAAGGUCACAGGUUCGAGACGUGUAUGGGCCA